CCUACGGGUCGCAGCAGUGGGGAAUAUUGGACAAUGGGGGGAACCCUGAUCCAGCGACGCCGCGUGAGUGAAGAAGUAUUUCGGUAUGUAAAGCUCUAUCAGCAGGGAAGAAAGAAAUGACGGUACCUGACUAAGAAGCCCCGGCUAACUACGGGCCAGCAGCCGCGGUAAUACGUAGGGGGCAAGCGUUAUCCGGAUUUACUGGGUGUAAAGGGAGCGUAGACGGCGAUGCAAGUCUGAAGUGAAAGGCGGGGGGCCAACCUCCGGACUGCUUUGGAAACUGUAUGGCUGGAGUGCAGGAGAGGUAAGUGGAAUUCCUAGUGUAGCGGUGAAAUGCGUAGAUAUUAGGAGGAACACCAGUGGCGAAGGCGGCUUACUGGACUGUAACUGACGUUGAGGCUCGAAAGCGUGGGGAGCAAACAGGAUUAGAUACCCGAGUAGUC
rnacentral:rRNA from 1 species